rnacentral:rRNA from 1 species
GGAAAGCUCCGGCGGCGGGGGAUGGGCUCGCGGCCCAUCAGGUAGACGGCGGGGCAGAGGCCCACCGUGCCGACGACGGGUAGCCGGGUUGAGAGACCGACCGGCCACAUUGGGACUGAGAUACGGCCCAGACUCCUACGGGAGGCAGCAGUGGGGAAUUUUGCGCAAUGGGGGCAACCCUGACGCAGCAACGCCGCGUGCGGGACGAAGGCGUCCGCGUCGUAAACCGCUUUCAGCGGGGAACACCUAAACGAGGGUACCCGCAGAAGAAGCCCCGGCUAAAUACGUGCCAGCAGCCGCGGUAAUACGUAUGGGGCGAGCGUUAUCCGGAUUCAUUGGGCGUAAAGCGCGCGUAGGCGGAGCGCUAAGCGGGACCUCUAACCCGAGGGCUCAACCCCCGGCCGGGUCCCGAACUGGCGCUCUCGAGUGCGGUAGGGGAGAGCGGAAUUCCCGGUGUAGCGGUGGAAUGCGCAGAUAUCGGGAAGAACACCGACGGCGAAGGCAGCUCUCUGGGCCGAAACUGACGCUGAGGCGCGAAAGCUGGGGGAGCGAACAGGAUUAGAUACCCUGGUAGUCCCAGCCGUAAACGAU